UACGAAGGGGGCUAGCGUUGUUCGGAAUCACUGGGCGUAAAGGGCGUGUAGGCGGGAAGGAAAGUCAGAUGUGAAAUCCCCAGGCUCAACCUGGGAACUGCAUUUGAAACUCCCUUUCUUGAGUACCGGAGAGGAAAGUGGAAUUCCUGGUGUAGAGGUGAAAUUCGUAGAUAUCAGGAGGAACACCAGUGGCGAAGGCGGCUUUCUGGACGGUAACUGACGCUGAGACGCGAAAGCGUGGGGAGCAAACAGG
rnacentral:rRNA from 1 species